rnacentral:rRNA from 1 species
UUAGAGUUUGAUCCUGGCUCAGAACGAACGCUGGCGGCGUGCCUAACACAUGCAAGUCGAACGUGAUCCAGAGCUUGCUCUGGUGAAAGUGGCGCACGGGUGAGUAACGCGUGGAUAACCUACCCUGGUAUCCGGGAUAACAUUCCGAAAGGGGUGCUAAUACCGGAUAAGCCCACGGGCUCUUUGGAGCUUGCGGGAAAAGGUGGCCUCUAUUUAUAAGCUACUGUAUCAGGAUGAGUCCGCGUACCAUUAGCUAGUUGGCGGUGUAACGGACCACCAAGGCGACGAUGGUCAGCUGGUCUGAGAGGAUGAUCAGCCACACUGGAACUGAGACACGGUCCAGACUCCUACGGGAGGCAGCAGUGGGGAAUUUUGCGCAAUGGGGGAAACCCUGACGCAGCAACGCCGCGUGAGUGAUGAAGGCCUUUGGGUCGUAAAGCUCUGUCAAAGGGGAAGAAAUGAUAUAGUGCUAAUACCACUUUAUCUUGACGGUACCCUCAAAGGAAGCACCGGCUAACUCCGUGCCAGCAGCCGCGGUAAUAC